rnacentral:lncRNA from 1 species
CAACGGCUGCAGACAGACUUCGUCCGGACUCCUACGGGAGCCAGACUCCGCCAACAACUUCAACCGCAAGUAGACUCCGCCCGGACUCCUACGGGAGCCGGGCUCCAUCCUCAACAUCAGCUGCCGGUAAGCCUUGUCCGGACUCCUACAGGAGCCGGACUUCGCCUUUAACUUUAAUUGCAGGAAGACUCCGUCCGGACUCCUACGGGAGCCGGGCUUCGUCCUCGACCCCAACGGCUGCAGACAGACUUCGUCC